rnacentral:rRNA from 1 species
AGAGUUUGAUCAUGGCUCAGAUUGAACGCUGGCGGUAGGCUUAACACAUGCAAGUCGAGCGGAAACGAUGGAAGCUUGCUUCCAGGCGUAGAGCGGCGGACGGGUGAGUAACGCGUAGGAAUUUGCCCAGUAGUGGGGGACAACUUAGGGAAACUUAAGCUAAUACCGCAUACGCCCUAAGGGGGAAAGCAGGGGAUCUUCGGACCUUGCGCUAUUGGAUGAGCCUGCGUCGGAUUAGCUAGUUGGUGAGGUAAUGGCUCACCAAGGCGACGAUCCGUAGCUGGUCUGAGAGGAUGAUCAGCCACACUGGGACUGAGACACGGCCCAGACUCCUACGGGAGGCAGCAGUGGGGAAUAUUGGACAAUGGGGGCAACCCUGAUCCAGCCAUGCCGCGUGUGUGAAGAAGGCCUUAGGGUUGUAAAGCACUUUCAGUACGGAGGAAAAGUUAGUCGUUAAUAACGGCUAGUCGUGACGUCACCUACAGAAGAAGCACCGGCUAACUCCGUGCCAGCAGCCGCGGUAAUACGGAGGGAUCGAACGUUAAUCGGAAUUACUGGGCGUAAAGCGCGCGUAGGCGGUUUGAUAAGUGGGAUGUGAAAGCCCUGGGCUCAACCUGGGAACUGCAUUUGGAACUGGCAGGCUAGAGUACGGUAGAGGGUGGUAGAAUUUCCUGUGUAGCGGUGAAAUGCGUAGAUAUAGGAAGGAAUACCGAUGGCGAAGGCAGCCACCUGGACCAAUACUGACGCUGAGGUGCGAAAGCGUGGGGAGCAAACAGGAUUAGAUCCCCUGGUAGUCCACGCCGUAAACGAUGACAACUAGCCGUUGGGGGACUUGAUCUCUUAGUGGCGCAGCUAACGCAAUAAGUAGACCGCCUGGGGAGUACGGCCGCAAGGUUAAAACUCAAAUGAAUUGACGGGGGCCCGCACAAGCGGGGGAGCAUGUGGUUUAAUUCGACGCAAUGCGAAGAACCUUACCUGGUCUUGACAUCCUACGAACUUUCCAGAGAUGGAUUGGUGCCUUCGGGAACGUAGUGACAGGUGCUGCAUGGCUGUCGUCAGCUCGUGUUGUGAAAUGUUGGGUUAAGUCCCGUAACGAGCGCAACCCUUAUCCUUAUUUACCAGCACGUAAUCUGGGAACUCUAGGGAGACUGCCGGUGACAAACCGGAGGAAGGUGGGGACGACGUCAAGUCAUCAUGGCCCUUACGACCAGGGCUACACACGUGCUACAAUGGACGGUACAGAGGGUUGCCAAGCCGCGAGGUGGAGCUAAUCCCAUAAAACCGUUAGUAGUCCGGAUUGGAGUCUGCAACUCGACUCCAUGAAGUCGGAAUCGCUAGUAAUCGUGAAUCAGAAUGUCACGGUGAAUACGUUCCCGGGCCUUGUACACACCGCCCGUCACACCAUGGGAGUGGAUUGCACCAGAAGUAGUUAGUCUAACCUUCGGGAGGACGAUUACCACGGUGUGGUUCAUGACUGGGGUGAAGUCGUAACAAGGUAGCCGUAGGGGAACCUGCGGCUGGAUCACCUCCUUA